CCUACGGGUGGCAGCAGUCGAGAAUCAUUCACAAUGGGGGAAACCCUGAUGGUGCGACGCCGCGUGGGGGAAUGCAGGUCUUCGGAUUGUAAACCCCUGUCAUGUGGGAGCAAAUUAAAAAGAUAGUACCACAAGAGGAAGAGACGGCUAACUCUGUGCCAGCAGCCGCGGUAAUACAGAGGUCUCAAGCGUUGUUCGGAAUCACUGGGCGUAAAGCGUGCGUAGGCUGUUUCGUAAGUCGUGUGUGAAAGGCGCGGGCUCAACCCGCGGACGGCACAUGAUACUGCGAGACUAGAGUAAGGGAGGGGGAACCGGAAUGCUCGGUGUAGCAGUGAAAUGCGUAGAUAUCGAGAGGAACACUCAUGGCGAAGGCGGGUUCCUGGACAUUAACUGACGCUGAGGCACGAAGGCGAGGGGAGCGAAAGGGAUUAGAUACCCUUGUAGUC
rnacentral:rRNA from 1 species